GCACCAGAAGCAGAACUAGGCCCAACUCUAGUUGAAGUUCUCGAUGUACCACGACUAGUCGUUUCUUGCACACGGAUGUCAUCCGGUAUUGAUUUUACUACAUUAUCUAAUUCUCCAUUGACAAUGGCAUCUAAUAUACUAUGUUCAUUGUCAACUGACAGUGAAAGACUUAUGUACCACAGUGUUUGUAAUUCUUCUUCCAUAUGCUGCAGCACUGCAAUGACUUCGAUC
rnacentral:lncRNA from 1 species